GUUAUACAUAAAGAUAAAUUUCAUCUCGAUUCUAAUUUAGUUUUGUUUAUUGCUCCAAAGAUGUUUUGAAUUGAAUGCUUUUUGUUUUAUUAACAGAUUCAGAACCACUUAGGCUCAAUUUUAUAAAGAUUAAUAUUCAGCGCAAAUUAUUACAUGGACUUGUCUGCACAAAUAUUUAACGUAACCAACAGAAUGUUUGUUAAUCAAUCAAGCUGACUCAACUAUUGAAAAAGGCGCUUUGAAUGAUCACUAAAUGCAUUGUCCAAUCAGUGCACACUUAUCCACAUUGAGGAUUGCAUCAUUUGCUCUUUUUUGUUUUGGUCCGAAAUGACUAUCCCAUUGCUUGUCAAUUGUUAAAAUUCAAUGUAAAUCAUUUUAGAUUAACUUAUUUACUUCUAGGUUCUAAAAAUAUGUUUUUUUAUCAUCAUGUUUACCUUUAUUCUUUUUAUUUCUGCCAUUUGUAUUUUUUGGCUUUAUGUCGCUUUAUUUGGCGUCCUUUCUGAUAAUAAGUGUUCAAAGUGUGAUCAAUGUAUGAUUACUAAUCUUCUCCGUAACCUCGUGGAAACAUACCAACAAUAUCCAUAUGAAGAAAGAAAAAGAAGCAUCAUGUUUGAGCUGCGGAGGCAGAUGCUGUAUAUACCGAUGCCUAUUAGAUGCGAAUGUAGUUCUAGAAUACUUUUAAGUAUUGCUAAAAUAAAUCAAUCAAACGCUGACUUCAACCAGAAUUAGCUCUUUGCAAUGAAAAAUUCAAUUAUUAUUAACUUUGUUAAAUUCAAAUUUUACAAAGAUAAAAAGGACAUUUCUUCAAAGUCUGGAGCCCUUUUUGUAAAACGGUACUUUCACUUGAUUCGGAUUGUUUUGAAUGUGAACAAUGUCAAUAUUUAUGGAACUCAGCAAUGAUGUCAACAAUUAUUUCUCGAUGCAUCCAUUAAUCCAUACAUCUCCAUUACUUUAUUAGUGCUAUCAUAAUAACUUCCUUUUUUGCCCACUUUUCCAUUGUGAUUCUCUCUAUCAUCUUUUGACUCUGUUUCCUGUACAAAAGAGAGAUCAAGGAGAAAGAGAAAAUGAAAGUGUUUUUAUCCCGCAACAUUUUAAUACAAUAAUGCUUUGUACGAACCAUUUCGCGCUGCGAACCCCAACUAUGUCUCUACAAGCUUAUCCUCUUUUCCCUCCUAACCUUCAUCUUUCCUCGCAUAACCUUUCAAGAUUUUGUUUCCUCCAAUUUUGGUCUAUCUAAAUUCAUCAUAAUCACAUCAUAGCCAGCAUCUAAAUGUAAUUCCUAUUAACCUUGAUCGCUGAAACAUUCCCGGUUUUCAUCACAUCCAUUUAACUCAAAGAUUAUUUCAAACCAAAAGUUGGACUUACUGUUGUUUUGGCAGCUAAUUAUUCCCAGUUUUGGCUGCCCAAAAAUUGAUUCACCUUUUAGUCAACAGAAAUCUCAAACAUAUCGGACUGAUUCCAAACAAUAGAUUUCAUUAAAGAUUAUAUUCAACUUAAUUAAAGGCAACCAGCGUCUCAACCUAAACCAACUCAGGACUACAUUGGUGUUGUACAUAUCGGUGUAUUUACCUGCUACUGAAACCAAGCCUAUCUUAUUUUGGCCUCUUCUUUAAUAUUAAAAUGGGUGAACUAAUAAUUUCCGAAUUACACCUUAAAAUUUUCUUUGAUCUACUUCCUCCUUUUAUGCAUUGGUUUAUAUGUAGCUACAAGGAAAAAACAGGAAUAUCUUUAAGAAAGGUUAGGUCUUCCGGAAGGUAACCUUACAAAAAGGGCCAAAUAGUACAAUAUGAGGCUAUGGGCUCUUCCCCUCUUUCCGUGAUCUAUCCUUCAUCUUCUUCGUCAUCACAUCUUCGUCCUCUUCUUGCUUUCUUGAAAAUGCAAGAGACAAACGACAGUCUAGUUAGGAUGAAGAGAGAUAUCCUCUUUCUUGACUUCCUCUCUUCAAUCUUCAACUAUUUUCUUCAUCUCAUUUUUUCUCCUCUUCAUUGACUUAUUUCCCGGUCGGAAGGACUAACCUAACUCUCUCUUUCUCUGUCUUAUGAAUCUGGACGGAAGUAAGGUUGACCUCUUGAGGCUCGAAGAUAUUUACAUCCUUUUGCGCCUCUAACGAACCACUGCAUAAGACUUGAGUCUAUCAUUUGUUAAUAAGGCUCAUUAGUGGUUAAAGUCCAUCAUCAAUAUGUGACAUCCAUCUUUAUGCUCCUCGUUAAUAGAGUAUUAAUUACAUUGAGUAAUUGUAAUACACAUAAUUAAAGAUCCAAUUAUCUGGUAA